AGGGUGGAGCACAACGUCGAAAGCAGCCGUUGGGAGCCCAGGAGGCGGGGCGCCUGUGGGAGCCGUGGAGGGAACUUUCCCAGUCCCCGAGGCGGAUCCGGUGUUGCAUCCUUGGAGCGAGCUGAGAGCUCGAGUACAGAACCUGCUAAGGCCAUCAAACCUAUUGAUCGGAAGUCAGUCCAUCAGAUUUGCUCUGGGCCGGUGGUACCGAGUCUAAGCACUGCGGUGAAGGAGUUAGUAGAAAACAGUCUGGAUGCUGGUGCCACUAAUAUUGAUCUAAAGCUUAAGGACUAUGGAGUGGAUCUCAUUGAAGUUUCAGGCAAUGGAUGUGGGGUAGAAGAAGAAAACUUCGAAGGCUUAACUCUGAAACAUCACACAUCUAAGAUUCAAGAGUUUGCCGACCUACCUCAGGUUGAAACUUUUGGCUUUCGGGGGGAAGCUCUGAGCUCACUUUGUGCACUGAGUGAGUGAGCGCUCAUGGGAUCUGGUUGUUUAGAAGCAUGCACCACCUCCCGCUUCACUCUCUCUGUCUCUCCUGCUCCACCAUGGCCAGAAACGUGCCUGCUUCCCCUUCGCCUUCUGCCGUGAUUGUCAGUUUCCUGAGGCCUCCCCAGCCAUGCUUCCUGUACAGCCUGCAGAACUGACUCCUAGAAGUACCCCACCCCACCCCUGCUCCUUGGAGGACAACGUGAUCACUGUAUUCAGCUCUGUCAAGAAUGGUCCAGGUUCUUCUAGAUGAUCUGCACAAAUGGCUCCUCUCCUCCUUCCUGAUGUCUGCCAUUAGCACUGGAAUAAAGUUCCUGCUGAAAAUCCACA
rnacentral:lncRNA from 1 species